ACAAAGAGUAGAAAUGUUCACAGAAAAAGUUCUCUGAAGCUUAAUAGCUUUACAUCUAUCUCCGUCUUCUGACCGGCAAUCAGGGAAACACUGCUACCAGACAGGGGAGAAGGUUUAGGGCUGUCACAAGAAAAAAAUCAACAUGCAACUUGGAGAACUGCUAACUGAGAGAGCUUCCCCUUGUAGGAGAGCUUCCUCUAUGUCAGACAGUGUAUUGCCUACAAAACAGUAUUUUUUGUGAUAGUUUUCUAUUGACUUGACUUCUUAAACCAGCUCAUUGUGGGGUAAUGAGAAUACCAGCACUGGCACAAAGGAAGCAUUUGCAGUGCAGAAGAAGGGGAGGAGAGUAGCAGGACCACCUCCUAUGUCAGCAAGCCACAGGAUCACAUUAUAAAACAUACCUUUCUGAUGGGGGAGAAGAUGGAGUAAUAGCCAGAGAAGGAAGGGUGCAAGGGUAGAAAAUUAUCCUUCUAUCUGCUAGCCCAAGCGCAAGCUGAAACAAAUCAUCCUCGGAAUUAUGCAAAGGUUGGAAACUGUUGGAGUGACUGGAAUGAAAGUAAAGGAGACCUAUCAAACUGUACCUCUUACGCAAGGUUCAACAGCAUUCUGAGGAACACGGAAAAUAGGGGUCCGGUUCAGUUUUCACUUCCAACUGACUUCUGGAGGCUUCUUGCCAACUCAGUCCAAUAGGAAGGCAUGUCAUGGCUGUGUUUCCUUGAAAAGCUGGGGCAAAGACCCUUGAGGUGAACUACUUCGAAGACAGCAAUCAUACACAGACCAUGACUGUGAUGCAACAGGAUACAGAGACUGUCUUAAGCAAUUUGUCUUGCUAACAUACAGCUGUACAGUAGGUAAGUACCUUGAUAAAAUUUUUGAUGGGCAUUGGUUAAGUUAUGCUAUUUCCAUAGUU